GACGAACCGUGCGAACGUUGUUCGGAUUCACUGGGCUUAAAGGGCGCGUAGGCGGGUGAUCAAGUCCGGGGUGAAAUCCUCCAGCUUAACUGGAGAAUAGCCCUGGAUACUGGUCGUCUUGAGGGAGGUAGGGGCAUGUGGAACUUCCGGUGGAGCGGUGAAAUGCGUAGAUAUCGGAAGGAACGCCGGUGGCGAAAGCGACGUGCUGGACCUCUUCUGACGCUGAGGCGCGAAAGCCAGGGGAG
rnacentral:rRNA from 1 species